rnacentral:rRNA from 1 species
CUGAUCUCAAAUCAGGUAGGACUACCCGCUGAACUUAAGCAUAUC